rnacentral:rRNA from 14 species
UACUGAAGUUCUAACCCGCACCCCUGAUCGGGGUGGGAGACAGUGUCAGGUGGGCAGUUUGACUGGGGCGGUCGCCUCCCAAACGGUAACGGAGGCGCACAAAGGUUUCCUCUGAACGGGUAGAAAUCGUAUCUAGAGUGUAAAGGCAUAAGGAAGCUUGACUGUGAGACCUACAAGUCGAGCAGGGACGAAAGUCGGUCUUAGUGAUCUGACGGUGCUGAGUGGAAAGGCCGUCACUCAACGGAUAAAAGUUACUCUAGGGAUAACAGGCUGAUCUCCCCCAAGAGUUCACAUCGACGGGGAGGCUUGGCAC